CCGUUAGGGGGGACCUGCGGAAGGAUCAUUACCGAGUUGAUUCGAGCUCCGGCUCGACUCUCCCACCCAAUGUGUACCUACCUCUGUUGCUUUGGCGGGCCGCGGUCCUCCGCACCGGCGCCCUUCGGGGGGCUGGCCAGCGCCCGCCAGAGGACCAUAAAACUCCAGUCAGUGAACUUCGCAGUCUGAAAAACAAGUUAAUAAACUAAAACUUUCAACAACGGAUCUCUUGGUUCUGGCAUCGAUGAAGAACGCAGCGAAAUGCGAUAAGUAAUGUGAAUUGCAGAAUUCAGUGAAUCAUCGAAUCUUUGAACGCACAUUGCGCCCCUUGGUAUUCCGAGGGGCAUGCCUGUUCGAGCGUCAUUUCAACCCUCAAGCUCUGCUUGGUAUUGGGCCCCGUCCUCCACGGACGCGCCUUAAAGACCUCGGCGGUGGCGUCUUGCCUCAAGCGUAGUAGAAAACACCUCGCUUUGGAGCGCACGGCGUCGCCCGCCGGACGAACCUUUGAAUUAUUUCUCAAGGUGACCUCGGAUCAGGUAGCUCAAC
rnacentral:rRNA from 1 species